CCUACGGGAGGCUGCAGUGGGGAAUAUUGGACAAUGGGCGAAAGCCUGAUCCAGCCAUGCCGCGUGUGUGAAGAAGGCCUUCGGGUUGUAAAGCACUUUCAGUGGGGAAGAAAGCCUUGGGGCGAAUACCCUCGAGGAAGGACAUCACCCACAGAAGAAGCACCGGCUAACUCCGUGCCAGCAGCCGCGGUAAUACGGAGGGUGCGAGCGUUAAUCGGAAUUACUGGGCGUAAAGCGCGCGUAGGCGGUCUGAUAAGCCGGUUGUGAAAGCCCCGGGCUCAACCUGGGAACGGCAUCCGGAACUGUCAGGCUAGAGUGCAGGAGAGGAAGGUAGAAUUCCCGGUGUAGCGGUUAAAUGCGUAGAGAUCGGGAGGAAUACCAGUGGCGAAGGCGGCCUUCUGGACUGACACUGACGGUGAGGUGCGAAAGCGAGGGUAGCAAACAGGAUUAGAUACCCUAGUAGUC
rnacentral:rRNA from 1 species